rnacentral:rRNA from 1 species
AUGCGGCUGAUCCAUGCUGAAGACAAGCACUUGAGUGCUCUCAACCAUGCGCUCGACCUCAAGAAUUCGUAUGGCAAUGGGGUGACAGCCAUGUUCCUCAUCUACAAUGCCACGGGUGACACGCUCGAGCAGCUUGAAGACCAGAAGGUGGACUGGCUUGGCAAUGUGAGCACGGAGGAACCCCCAGCCUCCAUCCAGAACGGCCAAUGGAUCACCUUCAUCCACGCUCACCCGACUGCACAGGCUGUUGGAUCAGAGGCGGCGCGGGUCUUCCGAGGCCACGAUAUCACAGGCCAAGUUCGUGACUAUAUGGUAGCCUGGUUCGUCCGUUGGGACAGCAUUCCAAACUCAGCAUACCCUGAGGUACGUGAGAAAGAUCACUUCCCAAAGUUCUGGGGUUACAUCGUGAGCUUACUUGAGAGGGCAGGCAAAGUCACCAAAGACCAAACUGAUGAGUAUUGUGCAUCCACUGUCAGCAUCGGUGGCUACACUUCCUCGGAAGUCAUUGCAGUUCUGCAGCACAAGUUUAGCCCUUUGCCAGAUCAGGAUAUCCUCUAA